rnacentral:rRNA from 1 species
GGGAUAACCCUCGGAAACGGGGGCUAAUACCGGAUAUGACCUUUCCUCGCAUGAGGGUUGGUGGAAAGUUUUUCGGCCUGGGAUGGGCUCGCGGCCUAUCAGCUUGUUGGUGGGGUGAUGGCCUACCAAGGCGACGACGGGUAGCCGGCCUGAGAGGGCGACCGGCCACACUGGGACUGAGACACGGCCCAGACUCCUACGGGAGGCAGCAGUGGGGAAUAUUGCACAAUGGGCGGAAGCCUGAUGCAGCGACGCCGCGUGAGGGAUGACGGCCUUCGGGUUGUAAACCUCUUUCAGCAGGGACGAAGCGCAAGUGACGGUACCUGCAGAAGAAGCGCCGGCCAACUACGUGCCAGCAGCCGCGGUAAGACGUAGGGCGCGAGCGUUGUCCGGAUUUAUUGGGCGUAAAGAGCUCGUAGGCGGCUUGUCGCGUCGACCGUGAAAACUUGGGGCUCAACCCCAAGCCUGCGGUCGAUACGGGCAGGCUAGAGUUCGGUAGGGGAGACUGGAAUUCCUGGUGUAGCGGUGAAAUGCGCAGAUAUCAGGAGGAACACCGGUGGCGAAGGCGGGUCUCUGGGCCGAUACUGACGCUGAGGAGCGAAAGCGUGGGGAGCGAACAGGAUUAGAUACCCUGGUAGUCCACGCUGUAAACGUUGGGCGCUAGGUGUGGGGGGCCUCUCCGGUUCCCUGUGCCGCAGCUAACGCAUUAAGCGCCCCGCCUGGGGAGUACGGCCGCAAGGCUAAAACUCAA